GCGCCGCAUCGUCAUCGUCGGUGCAUCAUCAUUGCUAUCGUCCUUGCCUGCUUUGUCGUGGUGUCCGGUGCUGUCGCCGCCAUCGUUGUUUUGACCACACAGCAAGCUGACUUGAAGAAUACAGUGGUAAACAUGAGCUUGGAUACCAACGAAACAUAUUACACAGAAAUGAGCAACAGCUCGUCACCUCAAUAUGCUCAAUUUCAAGACAAAUUCUGCACAGAGAUGAUUGACAUGUUUCGUUCAGGAGAGGCUGGAGAGUGUCACUGGUGCACUGUUGAUAAACUGAGGUAAGAACUCUAGUUAUAAACACCAAGACGAAAAGAAAGCAAU